GUCAGGCACACCGCAGUGCAAAACUUUAACCCAGAGAAUGUCGUGGAUUUCGAUCCAAUUGUCCUCUACGACGUGUGGUGGAACGGCGAUGCGACAGAGUGCUGCACAUGGCUGAAACUGAAGAAAUGGUGCUGCACACGUCGAAAAGGCUCAGAAAUCUGUCCUUAGAAAAGGGCAAGAGCACCAAAGGAAUUAUAACUGCCAUGGCCUCUAUGGCACCUUUGUCACAGGAGCAUGGUGUAUGCUGGAUCCGGGCAAUGAAUAGAAAAGGCUGCUUGGGGGACAUUGUUGCGGUCUACGUCUGACUAUGUUCUGCCGUAUGGCGUCCACAACGUAUUGGAUGCCAGAUGAGCUUAAGAACAGAAGCGUGACCGGGACUUUGUCCAACAAGUCGCGAUCCAAGGGAAGGACUGAGGCCAGACCAGCCGUGACACCACAAAAGUUGUCAUCCUUGAAAAGCCUCCUCCGGAUCUUCAUGGGCAACCGUGUCAUGCCGGAAGACGAGAAAAAAAAAGAUUGAAAGAAGUGCGCAGGCAAUUGGUGCAGAAACUCGCUGACGCGCCAAGAAGGUAGUGCUACUGGUACUGAUUGCUACGGGGCUUGUCCCAAAAGUUUGUGCACUGAGCCAGCAAAAACGCGGCAGAGAAUGUAGUGACAUGAACUGCUCAAACUUCUGGGACAGACUUUGUAUAUUUACCUUACCAGCUUAGCACUUCUACCUUUCUUUGUGGAGUUAGUGCUUACCGUAUUUACUAAAAAAUAGGUCCAACAUGAGUAUAGGUCGACCACUAUAUAUUGAAUUAGUUGAGAAAUUUAGAAAAUUUUAGUUUGAAUUAAGUCAGCCAAUAUCUUUCUUUAGCAGUAGUAGUGUAAACUUAAAUUAUUUCUCUUAAGGGUCUUGGGUGGUGGGCGGGUGCCUCAGUUUAGAGCUCCAUUGGUCUCUGCAGCUUGCUGGGCUUGAUCGAGAAGAGCUCUCUGGCUCUCUAGAUUUUCGCUAGCAAGCCAAACGUCCCGCUGCCUGUUGCUUGGAAUUUGCGCCGUUAAGGGGUGAAUUUAGAGUUUGGAAGUCGUUGCUUACAUAUCCACAUUACAGGACGAGACUUGGCCCACCAAGGGAAGUGGCAGGGUGUAUGCAUCUUGUGAAGUAUUUGGAUGUAUGGAUAUGCGUGGAGGACCACACAAAUAGCGAAGGAACGAAAAAGAUUAGGUCUAUCUUAAAGAGACGGGAAGAGUGUGGAUCAGAGAGCAAAUGGCGAUAGCCGAUAUUCUUGUUAACAUUAAGAGGGGAAAUGGAACUGGGCAGGCCAUGUAAUGCGUAGGAUGGAUAACCGGUGGAUCAUUGGUUACAAAAUGGAUACCAAGAAAGGGAAGCGCAGUCGAGGAUGGCAGAAAACUAGGUGGGGGGAUGAAGUUAGGAAAUUUGCAGGCGCAAGUUGGAAUCUGCUAGCGCAGGACAGGGGUAAUGGAGAUCGCAGGGAGAGGCCUUCGUCCUGCAGUGGACAUAAGUAUAGGUUGAUGAUGAUGUGUGUUUGUAAGAAGAGCCAGUACCUGGCCUGUUUCCCUGUACGGUCUGGGUGUAGGUGGCUGUAUUUUUGUCUCUUUGGUCUCCGAGGAUGUCGUGCUGGUGGAUCAGGGGUAUUCCAGUAAAACACGUUGUGGGGCUAGUUGGUGCAUAGCUUUCAAAAGAUGAAGCGCCAACAGUGACAGCACAUUAGGAAGGAACAAAGACAGGACAGGCGCUACUUGCAACUGUUUAUUGUGGUCAAAGGUGGUUGAAUAUAUAGCCAUGGGGAGAGGGGGGGACGAAAAAGGCGGAACACUGAUUGUAUGAAUGCGCACGCGUGAGAACACUGAAGAUGUGCAUGAAGGAAAUGGCGAAUCUAAAACUUAUCUAAAAACACACUUUCAUUUGUGUAUAUAUUCAGAGACGGGGAGCUGACACAUGUUUCCCCUCUCUUCCUAAUCUGGUUGGCCUCCAACAAUUCACGUGCCACAGAGUCUUUACUUUUAAACAAGAUUGUAAUAUCUUGAAGCCUUGCUUCACAUGCUUGUUUAUUUUUAUUGCCGCAGGCCUUGCAAUGAAGAGGCAAGUUUGAGCCAUAACCAUAUUUCAAUGAAAGCUUAUGCUCCCGCAGGCGAUCAUUAAUGCAUCGGCCAGUUUGGCCGACGUACUCUUUCCCACACUUCAGCGGUAUACGGUAUACAACUCCUUCCUCACACUUCACAAAAGGAUUCGUAUGUUUAAUGGAACACCCUGCUUUCUUAGAGU